CUGGUAUGUACUGGCUUCGCUGAUUCCUCCUUUCUGAAGAACUGUAAUGUCAUUAAUUUGGUGUUGCAGGGAAACAGGACUGUUACUUUGAAAAAAUUAGAGUGUUUAAAGCAGGCUAACGCUUGAAUACAUUAGCAUGGAAUAAUGAAAUAGGACGUUCGAUCCUAUUUUGUUGGUUUCUAGGAUUGACGUAAUGAUUAAUAGGGAUAGUUGGGGGCAUUAGUAUUCAAUUGUCAGAGGUGAAAUUCUUGGAUUUAUUGAAGACUAACUACUGCGAAAGCAUUUGCCAAGGAAGUUUUCAUUAAUCAAGAACGAAAGUUAGGGGAUCGAAGACGAUCAGAUACCGUCGUAGUCUUAACCAUAAACUAUGCCGACUAGGGAUCGGAUGAUGUUAAUUUUUUAAUGACUCAUUCGGCGCCUUACG
rnacentral:rRNA from 1 species